rnacentral:rRNA from 1 species
CGCUUCGGACCAUGCCGAAGUCCCUUGUAAAAGGGCAUCAUAGAGGGUGAUAAUCCCGUACAUGGCAUGCCCCCGCCCGAAUCUUUGUGAUACGCUUUCUACGAGUCGAGUUGUUUGGGAAUGCAGCUCAAAAUGGGUGGUAAAUGCCAUCUAAGGCUAAAUAUUGGGGAGAGACCGAUAGCGAACAAGUACAGUGAUGGAAAGAUGAAAAGAACUUUGAAAAGAGAGUUAAACAGUACGUGAAAUUGCCAAAAGGGAAGGGUAGGAGGUCAGAGAUGCGUCUUGGGAUUCAGCCUUGCUUUUGCAUGGUGUUUUUCCCAAGUUGCAGGCCAACGUCGGUUUUGGGCACUGGAGAAGGGUAGGAGGAACGUGGCACCUCUCGGGGUGUGUUAUAGCCUCCUACUGGAUACAGCGACCGAGACCGAGGAACGCAGCGUACUCGUAAGAGCGGGCCUUUUGGCACCUUUACGCUUAGGGCGUUGGCAUAAUGGCCCUCUACCACC